rnacentral:lncRNA from 1 species
AAUAUACCCUAAGGGAGCACAAAUCAUGGAAUCAUUAUGAUGAAAUCAACUAAACCAAGGAUUUGAUUGGUUCUGCAAGGAGUUCUAGAUGCUUAGCACAAGGAAUUAGGGCAGGAAUGGAAGAGAUAUUGGUAAUGAAAUGUACUAAGAAUUUCUAGAUUCGCGUACGGAAUGAGGCUUCUGAGGGCAAAACAACCAGUCAGAAAAAUUUACCCCUUUUGCAAUAGAUUGGGAGAUGCAGAUAAAAGUGCUAACUUUCCAACAAAGAAAAGGAGAAAAUAAGGAGCUCCUGCACAACAAUCAAAGAACGCAUUCCACUGUCUCUGAGAGGUUUCGGAUCCUCUCUCUUCAAGAGUGCCGCUUAAGGGAACAUGGCUGCCAACUUCUACAGGCUUCACAUACACAGUUUCACCAUGAAAGAAGCACUAUGCUGGGGUGCCCAAGAGUGCUGUUUCUGGAGACAGACUGCCUGAAUUCGAAUCCUCGCUCUGGGCAAAUUACUUACUCUUUCUGAACCUCAGAUUCCUUAUCUAUAAAAUGAGCUAAUAAUAGAGUCUACUUCAUAAGACUGUUUUGUGAAUUAAGG